GUCAAAAUGGGUGAGGAAAUUAGCAACAUGCAAGUGAUACUCAGCAACUAUGUCAAAACAUCUGUGAAAGAAUCCGAUAUGUCGCUGAGAACUUCCAAAAUUCAGCUCAAAAUUCCCAGCGGUUGCGACGGCGCCGUUUUGGUGAAGAAUCUCUACUUAUCCAUCGAUCCUUUUAUUCUUGCCCUCAUGAAGAAUCAAGAGCUCGAUUUACCUUCUUUCACGCUGGAUUCUCCUAUUUAUGGAUUUGGAGUGUCGAAAGGACUGGAUUCGUCUCAUCCAAAUUUCAAGACGGGCGAGCUAGUUUGGGGGUUUACUGGCUGGGAGGAGUAUAGCUUUAUUAAAGAUCCAGACUAAUUGUUUAAGGUUCAAGAUAAAGAUUUGCCCCUCUCUUAUUAUACAGGGAUUCUUGGCAUGCCUUUAUGUUGGUUUUUUCAAGUUUUGCUCUCCCAAAAAGGAGGAAACUGUGUAUGUCUCUGCUGCAUCCGGAGCUGUUGGUCAGCUCGUUGGUCAGUUUACAAAGAUCGCAGGGUGUUACGUUGUUGGGAGUGCGGGGAGCAAAGAAAAGGUCGAUCUCUUGAAGAACAAAUUCGGGUUUGACGAAGCAUUCAACUACAAAGAAGAGCAAGACUAUAAUGCAGCGUUGAAGAGGUACUUCCCCGAUGGCAUCGACAUCUACUUUGACAACAUGGGAGGGAAGAUGCUCGAAGCGGUGCUAAACAACAUGAGACUCAACGGCCGUGUUGCGCUUUGUGGUAUGAUCUCCCAAUACAACAACCUUGAGCAGCCCGAAAGCGUCCACAACUUGAUUAACGCAAUAGUAAAACGGGUCCGUAUGGAAGGAUUUUUCACUAGCGAUGUCACGACCGCACUUCCUAGGAUAGAAAGUACGGUGGAUCGUGACUAAUGGGGGAAUUAAGAAGCGGGGAAGAAAGGGAAAUAA